rnacentral:tRNA from 1 species
GGAGACGUGUCCGAGAGGCUUAUGGUGACGGUCUUGAAAACCGUUGGGUGUCACAGCCCCGAGAGUUCGAAUCUCUCCGUCUCCGCCA